AUCGGCGACGCGGUACACACUCCACGGAUAAAAGCGAUAAACAAAAAUUCGUAAUAUUGACAUAAAUACAUAAUAUUGUUCUUUUUCGUUCUCAAUUUCUUAUUAUAUAGUUCUGUUUAUUAUAAAAUCGUACUGUCGUUUAUAGUAACGAUUAACGAAAACAACCGCAAUAACAUUGUUCUGUUUUUGUUGGUGGCGUACCGCACAGCCAUGCCGAAAUACUAUUGUGAUUAUUGCGAUACGUACCUGACGCACGAUUCGCCAUCGGUGAGGAAGACUCACUGCCAGGGCCGCAAGCACAAGGAUAACGUCAAAUUUUACUAUCAGAAGUGGAUGGAGGAACAGGCACAGAACCUGAUUGACGCCACAACGGCUGCAUACAAAGCUGGCAAGAUCGGCAUGAAGGGAGUGUGUAUACCGCCACCGAACAUGGGCCAAUCGGCACCACAAAUGUCUAUGCCACCGGGUUCGAUCAUGCCGCCGGGACAGAUGCCCAUGGGUGCCCCGCCAAUGAUGUCCAUGCCGCCAAUGAUGAGACCACCCAUGGGACAGAUGCCGAUGGGUGCACCGCCACCAAUGAUGCCACCGAUGCCACCCAAUAUGAGACCGCCUAUGAUGAGCAAUCCACCUCCUAAUGUCCAAGCGCAAUAAUUAAAUAAAUACACAAACUUGUUGGUUCGCAUAACAAGACUAUCAUUAAAUUAUAAAUAAUGUAUAUUUUCAUCAAUACCUACAUAAUAAAAUGUUAAAUUAUGGACUUCAAGUAGUCAAGUAGACAUCUUCAACUUGGAUGUUCAAGGUUUGAUUAUUGCCUAUCUUAUGGCUGUUUGCGUAAAAUAUUAUUUCUUAAUGUAUAUUUGUUUUAGUACCAAAUAUAUUAAAUUUCUUAUAA
rnacentral:misc_RNA from 1 species